rnacentral:misc_RNA from 1 species
AAGUCGUAACAAGGUAUCCGUAGGUGAACCUGCGGAUGGAUCAUUUGUGGAUCUAUUUCAAUGUGUGAUGUGAAAUGUGAAGGGAGUGUUGGUGGGAGUGGAUUGAGAUGGUGUAGUGCCGUCUCUUAACCGCCCCACCAGCAGUAUUAUCAGUAGUCACUUUGAUGUAUAUCAAAAUCAUCAAUACAGACAACUUUUAGCAAUGGAUCUCUUGGCUCUC